GAUGAACGCUGGCGGCGUGCCUAAUACAUGCAAGUCGAGCGAACAGACGAGGAGCUUGCUCCUCUGACGUUAGCGGCGGACGGGUGAGUAACACGUGGAUAACCUACCUAUAAGACUGGGAUAACUUCGGGAAACCGGAGCUAAUACCGGAUAAUAUAUUGAACCGCAUGGUUCAAUAGUGAAAGACGGUUUUGCUGUCACUUAUAGAUGGAUCCGCGCCGCAUUAGCUAGUUGGUAAGGUAACGGCUUACCAAGGCAACGAUGCGUAGCCGACCUGAGAGGGUGAUCGGCCCACCUGGAACGGAAAACCGGCCCAAACCCCUACGGGGGGCAGCAGUGGGGAAUUUUCCGCAAGGGGGGAAAGCCGAACGGAGCAACGCCGGGGGGGUGAUGAAGGUUUUCGGAUCGUAAAACUUUUUUAUUAGGGAAAAAAAAAUGUUUAAGUAACUAUGCCCGUCUUGACGGGACCAAAUCAAAAAGCCCAGGCAAACUACGG
rnacentral:rRNA from 1 species